rnacentral:rRNA from 1 species
GACGAACGCUGGCGGCGUGCUUAGCACAUGCAAGUCGAGCGGUAAGGCCCUUUCGGGGGUACACGAGCGGCGAACGGGUGAGUAACACGUGGGUGACCUGCCCUCAGCUCUGGGAUAAGCCUGGGAAACCGGGUCUAAUACUGGAUAUGACUCCAUGACGCAUGUUGUGGGGUGGAAAGCCUUGUGCGGCUGAGGAUGGGCCCGCGGCCUAUCAGCUUGUUGGUGGGGUGAUGGCCUACCAAGGCGACGACGGUAGCCGGCCGU